UGAACCCUAAUCUUCUCUAUCUCCUUCCCCCAUCUCCGUUUGUCCUUCUGUCUCCUCUCUCCGCUUCCAUGGAUCCCUACUUUCAUCACUACCGUUGCCCAAAUACGUAUAUUCCUCUUCCUCCGACGUAUAACCACCACCAUCUCCGCCAGGUUCCCAACCACGUUCUUGUGAACCCUACCGCAUUCAAUUUCAACCCUCCCAUUUUUUUACCCGCCAAUCCACUCUUUGUUCCUCAGGUUCCUGUUCUUUUCGAACAUGAUUCGCGUCACCGUAGUUCAAUGCUAUCGCAGUCUCAUUCAAAUUCUAACCCUAGCCGCAGUGCUUCCAGGUUCAGGAAGGAGUGCUUUGGCGGAGCAAACCGCCGUUGCCAUGUGGUUGUUCCUCCGAAUUCUGGUAUCAAAUCGAAACUUUGCUCGGAAGAGGUGCGAGACUCUUCUCUCGAGACAACGGCUUUGGAACUGGAUAGGAUGUAGUGCUACAUGAUCUGGAUUCUACCAAUGCACAACCUCAAGGUGGGCAAGAAUCAAUUGAUGAGUGCAAAUAGUGGAUAUGGUGGCUUAGGAGUAUAGGAACAGAAUCGAUUGAUGAGUGUUGUGCUUCCACAAGGUAUUGAAGUAUUUCUUUGUGGUGACAAGAGCUUCUUGAUUCAGGAUCUCCGUAGGUGAUUUCAAUGCUAGGGAACUCUUAUCCCAAUGCUGGUGGUCCACUUUCACAAAGCCAUGUUAUGGAUAUGUUGAAUGAUGUAAACUCGAGUGAUAAUUCUCGUUUUGACAUGAAUGACUUCCCUCAACUGACUAGUCGACCUAGUUCUGCUGGAGGGCCUCAAGCACAAUUGGGUGCAAACGAAGAUUUCCAGCUUUGCCAGGAUUCAAAGGUGUAGUUACUGGAGAAGAUAUGUGACCUGAUUGGCUGUUAUGCAUUUCUUUCUAGCAAUUUUGGCUGUUUUAUGUUAUCAAAUAGUUUUUUUGUAUAGUUGCCUUAUGAUUUGUUGUUUAAAGUGUCUCUUCUUACAGAGUUGAGUUGUAGACUGAAUUAUGCACUUUCUCUUAUGGAAAGUUUUAUGGAUUUAUGUGCAUAUCUACCUUAGUUCCUUUGGUGCUUGGUUUUAUUGCUUUGUUUAUUAUAUUCUGAAAUUGUAAGUCAUGUAAGGUGUUAAAUAAGCAUAUGGUUUCCUGGUUUGUAUUUGUAGGUUGGAACUACUGAAUGAUUUGUCUUUUUAUAACAAAAUGUAGAAUCACCAUUAAUAGAUUGUUCCAACUCUUACUUCCUUGUGCAAUUUGAUUUUAACAUGCGGAUUUUUUAUGUUGUAAGAUAUGAUUCUGAUUGGACUGAAAAAAAAUAUUUUUUGCAAAUCCUUGUUUGGACACAGAACAGCAUAGUGAGUUCAAAUUCAUAAUGAUUAAUGAGAUCUGAUAAAUAAAUGUCCUACUCCCUCCGCAAGUGAAUUAUGGUUAAUAUUAAUAAACAUGGCAUAAAGAGUUCAAAAUAAUUAAAGAAAGGGAACCGAGGAAUUUUCACGGUUCUUCCGGAUUUUAAGAAUUUGUUUAAAGAUAGGUUUGGGGAACUGAUUGAGUUGUC